AUACAAAACCAAUGCCCUUCGGGGCUCCUUGGUGAUUCAUGAUAACUAUACGAAUCGCACGGCCUUGCGCCGGCGAUGGUUCAUUCAAAUUUCUUCCCUAUCAACUUUCGAUGUUUGGGUAUUGGCCAAACAUGGUUGCAACGGGUAACGGAGGGUUAGGGCUCGACCCCGGAGAAGGAGCCUGAGAAACGGCUACUACAUCCAAGGAAGGCAGCAGGCGCGCAAAUUACCCAAUCCCGACUCGGGGAGGUAGUGACAAUAAAUACUGAUACAGGGCCCUUUCGGGCCUUGUAAUUGGAAUGAGUACAAUUUAAAUCCCUUAACGAGGAACAAUUGGAGGGCAAGUCUGGUGCCAGCAGCCGCGGUAAUUCCAGCUCCAAUAGCGUAUAUUAAAGUUGUUGUGGUUAAAAAGCUCGUAGUUGAACCUUGGGCCUGGCUGGCCGGUCCGCCUCACCGCGUGCACUGGUCCGGCCGGGCCUUUCCCUCUGUGGAACCCCAUACCCUUCACUGGGCGUGGC
rnacentral:rRNA from 13 species